CAGGGAAUCUUGCGCAAUGGGCGAAAGCCUGACGCAGCGACGCCGCGUGGGGGAUGAAGGCCUUAGGGUUGUAAACUCCUUUUGUUUGGGGAGAAGAUCUGACGGUACCAGACGAAUAAGCAUUGGCUAACUACGUGCCAGCAGCAGCGGUAAUACGUAGGAUGCAAGCGUUGCCCGGAUUUAUUGGGCGUAAAGGGCGUGUAGGCGGCCUGAAAAGUCUUUUGUGAAAUCUCCCGGCUUAACCGGGAGGGGUCAGAAGAAACUCUCAGGCUUGAGGGGAGCAGAGGAGAACGGAAUUCCCGGUGUAGCGGUGGAAUGCAUAGAUAUCGGGAGGAACACUAGUGGCGAAGGCGGUUCUCUGGGCUCUACCUGACGCUAAGGCGCGAAAGCGUGGGGAGCAAACCGG
rnacentral:rRNA from 1 species